UGCACUGUUUUUUUUCUCUCUUUCUCACCAAUACAGAAGAAGAAAAAUAACUGAUAACCCCAGAAUCUGCUUUAUUACCUUCUUAUAAACCAUCACAGACCAAGUUCUACAUCAAUCAAUCAAUCAGAAAUGGCAGUAGAAAUGCAAAUGGAAAUGGAAUUUGAAACAAAAAUCUACAGAUUCUCACAAUCAAAAUACUUCUUUGGAUUCCGUCUCUAUCUUCAGCAUUUUAUAAAUUCAUCUCAUUAGCACUCCAUGACCCAGAUGCUGAUUCUUCUUCCAUUGAAAUCCAUAUAUUAACAAACCAAAACCCAUCUCUUCACCUUGAAUCAUCUUGUACUUCUUCUUCUUCUUCAAGAAUUUCAUCUCUUAAAGAGUUUCUCACUCCAUCUAACACCAUAAUUGCUUCAUCCUCAUUUGAUGCUUGUAUUAAUUUGCUACUUACUAACCCACUCAAUGUUGUUAUUGAAUCUGAGAAUAAAAAUUUCUGAAAUAGAUUUUCAUAUCUGGGAUUGAUUUGAAUGGUGGUGGAUCUGAAUGUGUUACUGUUGGUGAAGAUGGGAGGAUUAAUUUGGUUAAUGUUGGUGACUCUAGGCUGGAUUAUAAAAGGGUAUUUGAUAGUCAUGGAUUGGUAUCCUAUACUACAGUUAAUUGGUGGAAUCAGAGAAAAUUUGGUGUUGUUUCUCAGCUCAAGGGUGAUUGGUUAGGUUAAAAUUUCAUAUUCAUGGGUUUUUUCAAUUAUGCAUAAUUUUGUUUAGUGAGAGUGCUCUGUAUGAAUGUAAAAGGACUAGAUAUAUGCUCAGUAAGAUUUUGCAUUAUAUGGAAAUCUAAGCUAAAAUCCAUGAGCUGGAAGUUUUUCGAGGACUUGGGAAGUAGAAAUUUCUUGAUAUUGAUGUGUUGUAUGUAUCCUUAAUCUGUAAACAAUUAUCUUGUCACUUGUUUUGACAAUAUCAAACCCAUUUGAUUUCAUAGUUAUUGUUUAACAACUCAUAUAUGAGAUGUUUGUCCUUUAAUUCUUUAAGGUGUUAGGAUGAAAAGGGGAAAAUAAACUUGAAUUUGCGGAUAAUACUACUACCUCUAUCUUUGCCUUAGUGCUGUGAAAACACUGAAAUGUGAACGGAGGAAUGUUAGCAAAACGUUGUCAUUUACAUUUAUUUCUUUUUGACUGGAGUAUGCGAACUUCACAGAUUUUAGUACCAUUUCAUUGUAUAUACUUGAAACUGUUAUUGAAUGUAUUCAUACUUACGUAACUUUUGUUACAUUUUCCGUUGCAGGGCUCAUGGGAGUACAUCUGGGAUUGUACACUCAAUCAACAUUCAUCCUUCACGAAAGCAUGUCUGUGUGAUUUGCUGCAUUGGUUUCUAGCUGCUGAUACCAGAGGAGCCACACUCAGUCGAUGCGAUCGAAAUCCAAAAAUGGAAAUGGAGUGUGAGUAAAGCAAAAAAGUGUAACCGGGAGAGGCAUGCUCAGAGGUGGCCCGAAAAAUGAAAGAUGAGGAGGGCUUCUACUAUCCUCACAAUCUAGAUUUCGUGGCCGUGCGUACCCCAUGCAUUCACAUUUGAAUCAUCUUAGUUCAGAUCUUUGUCGAGGUGUUCUGGAGUUUGCUGAAGGCAGGCCACUAAGGAAAGCUCAAAGCUGGCUUGCGCUGGCCGAAGAUUCAUUUGGCAAAUCUAUAUGCAGGCGGUGUUAAUAAGCUCCCCUGUGAAGAGCGUGUAAUGUUUGUGGCGAUAAUCACCUGGAUGAUAUAUUAGAUUCAGCACAGAGGCUGAUUGAUGGAAAACGUUGGUGGUUAAGUGCAGAAGAUCCUUUCCAGUGAUUAGCAGCAUGUAUGAAACUGCCAGACUCCCUGAGGAGCUCGUCACCAUACACUGUCAUCUCCCACCUGCCAAUUCAUCAAUUUGAGGCCUAUGAAAAAACUUCUUUCUGUUAGGAUGGAUCAUGCAACGGUUUGCAGCACUAUGCAGCCCUUGGGGGAGACAGUUUGGAGGCAGCUGCAGUAAUUUAAUAGCGGGAGAGAGGCCGGCAGAUGUUUAUUCAGAAAUAGCUGCUAGAGUUCAUGAUAUUAUGCAAAGAGACUGCAGCAAAGAUCCGGCAACAAAUUCAGCUGCUUGACUCGCAAAUCUCUUAAUUGAUCAGCUUUCAGGUAGACCGGAAAUUGGUGAAACAAACUGUGAUGACCUCAGUGUAUGGCGUAACUUACGUUGGUGCGCGUGAGCAGAUUAAGAGGAGAUUGAUGGAAAUGGGUAACAUUACUGAUGACCGAUUGUUGUUCAGUGCAUCUUGCUAUGCAGCUAAAGUAAGCUACAGUUACAACAUGAGACUUGUUCAGUGCAUCUUGUUAUGCAGCUAAAGUAAGCUACAGUUACAACAUGAGACUACAUUUACAGUUAUGAGAGAAGAUACAAAUAUUUUCUUUGUGGUCACAUUUACAGUACGACAAGAUAACAUAUUUUCUUGUUUACAUAAAAAAAAUUGUAAUGAAAAACGAAAUAAGUUAUUCGUAAAAUAAAAUCAUAUAACUACAGUAGAUGAGAAAACUAGAAUUAUGCUUGACAACAGGAUAUCCUGAAGGUUUAGCUAGUUUUUUUUGUGGAGAUUCAUGUAGUUCUGACGCUGCUGUGCAGAUUUUGACGGUGGACAUGAUGGUGUAUAUAAAGUGUAAGAAAAAAGACAUAGUAGGAGUGGAGAUUGUUAGUUAAUUGAAGACUAAUUAUUUCCUAAGUUAGCCGUGACUGUUUUGGGAAAGGGGUUUCCUAAAAUGGCUAGAAUUCUUGGUGGCGAAGUUUGUA